GUCGAUCUGCUCUGGGCCCGGCGAGCAGAAGUCUGGGAUGCGCAGUCGGUGCAGAGUGAGGCCGGGGCAGCUGUCGCUGUGCGGGGGCCCGCGCUCCGUCAGUGACACCAGAUGAGAAAACUGAAGCUCUGGAGAGGUUCAGGAACUUGACCAAGAGAUGACUGAUGGCAGGGGGGUUUGAAACCAAACAGCCUGGCUCCAGAAUCUUUAACAAAACGGAGUUCUCCCUUUGAAUUUUCUUUUUCACAUCUUUAUUGGAGUA